rnacentral:lncRNA from 1 species
CAAGGUUUGGCCUAAAGAAUGGGUCAUCUAGUCUGCUUCUUUGGCUCCCACAAUGGCCAUUAGAUGUCUCUAUUAAACCCUGAGAGUCUAAGAAAUACAGUUUAAAAUUUACAGUAUUAGAUCAGGAGUUAUUAAGCUCUGGACUAUGGACCAAAUUUGGUUCACUCUCACAUCCAUUCAUCUGUGUGCUGUCUUUGAUCACUUUAGUGCUACAAAGGAAGUGGGAAGAAGUUACGACAGAAAAAAAAAAGACAUCCCCUUGAACACUGGGGGCUGGGGAUUUAGCUCAGUGGUAGAGCGCUUACCUAGGAAGCACAAGGCCCUGGGUUCGGUCCCCAGCUCCGAAAAAA